AACGAACGCUGGCGGCAUGCCUAACACAUGCGAGUCGAACGAAGGCUUCGGCCUUAGUGGCGCACGGGUGCGUAACGCGUGGGAAUCUGCCCUUUGCUUCGGAAUAACAGUUAGAAAUGACUGCUAAUACCGGAUGAUGUCGCAAGACCAAAGAUUUAUCGGCAAAGGAUGAGCCCGCGUAGGAUUAGCUAGUUGGUGGGGUAAAGGCCUACCAAGGCGACGAUCCUUAGCUGGUCUGAGAGGAUGAUCAGCCACACUGGGACUGAGACACGGCCCAGACUACUACGGGAGGCAGCAGUGGGGAAUAUUGGACAAUGGGCGAAAGCCUGAUCCAGCAAUGCCGCGUGAGUGAUGAAGGCCUUAGGGUUGUAAAGCUCUUUUACCCGGGAUGAUAAUGACAGUACCGGGAGAAUAAGCUCCGGCUAACUCCGUG
rnacentral:rRNA from 1 species